UAAAUUAUGGCAUAAUUCAGUAAUGCAAUGUGUUAUUUCCUAACCCACACGUCUUGUUGUUGCAAUUGCCGUUUCUUUGAUCACUGUGGUUAUCAUCAUCCUUUUUCUCAUUAAAAUUCAUUUUCGUGAUUAUUGUGCUGCUUGCUGUAGAAGAUUCAAGAUUGACAAGAAAAUAACUGAUAUGUGAAUGACAGAUGCUGCAUCAGCCACACAGUUCUGCUCAUCAUGAAUCCUCUGAAGCCCAACUGGAGCUCUUAUGACUUUUUAUUUCUCUUUGGCCUCUCUGAACAAAAAUUCAGAUUCAUAAGGUGAUUUAUACUUAAGCUCAGGGGCAUUUUUUGGUAUUUUUGCCUAAAUUUGACAUACUCAAAUUCAAAUGUUUACCCUACACACAUACAAUGGAGGAAAUGAAAAAAAAAAUGGUUUCAUUUUAAAGAAAACCCUUUGAACUACAAAAUAUGAGUGUAAUCCUUUCUAAAUAACAUUCUUUCAAAUAUUACA